GUAUUUGCAGUGGUCAAGACUUUGCAGAAGUUUACAUUCCCCGUAGUAUGCUUCAGCCUAUAGUUUAUCUGCAUUUAUACUGCAUGAACUCUGAGGCACUCCAGCUGGAUCCAUCAAAGUUGGGGCAGACAAUUCUGGGAUGCCAUUAACUGUGAGUCACCUUUCAGGGCUUAGCCUCGUCAAAAGUCUGUGACACCACUGCCAUAUGUACGCACUUGAACACAGAAAGGAUAUGGCUGACCUCCCACUGACAUGAGGAGCAGGCAGUGAUUUUGCUUUCAGAUGAAACCUACAGAGAACAAACAUCUGUGAAGAAUGGAGAAUGGUGGCUGCCCAGUGAAGUGCCUGAGAGCAAAGUGUUCAGCGUGCUCACUAAUAAGUGUCAGCUUGAUUUGAAUCACUUGCUAAAGUGCAGCCUGGCUGAAGCUGAAAGAACAUACCUUUCCUCAAUGAAAUGGAAUCCUAAGGCAUAAAUAAAAGAUUUCACCUGGGAAGAGUGAUUUAUUGUCUCUAUCCCAAGAAAGAUGCCUGUGAUUUACCACUCCUCCUUGUUUUAGAGCAGAAGCUAAAACAAUCCCUUCCCCCAAAAUAACCCCUAACUAGCACUAUUUCCAUUAGCUGGAAGAGAAGUCUGAGAUGUGUUUAUACCAGUUAUUUAGUUGAAGUCAACAAAGUCAUAGAAAUGGAAUAACAGACCAAGUAAGAGACGAACUGGGGGCAUGGUUCCAAAAAUUUUGAGAAAUGUACUAAUACUCAUUAAAAAAAAUGAGUAUAUCACAGUGGGCUUCUGUCCAAUCUAAGACUCUGAUCCCAUAUCCCACUGAAAGGAGCCAACUAAUUCAUUCCUGACCAUAUGGAUGCUGUAAAGUUGUAGAGAUCAAAACCCUCCCUGACAGAAUCUUGGAUCAACGAAAGAAAACAUUUCUGCUCCCUCUUGAGUAGCCAUUUCAGAUUUUAGGGGAAGCCUGAUCCAUGCUGGGACAAUGAUUUGAAUGGCUUAGUCAAUGCUAAAGAACAUGCACACAGUAGACAUAAUCAA